rnacentral:rRNA from 1 species
UACAGAGGUAGCAAGCGUUGUUCGGAAUUACUGGGCGUAAAGGGCGCGUAGGCGGUCCGAUAAGUCCCGUGUGAAAGCCCCCGGCUCAACUGGGGAACUGCACGGGAAACUGACGGACUUGAGUUCGGGAGAGGGAAGCGGAAUUCCGGGUGUAGCGGUGAAAUGCGUAGAUAUCCGGAGGAACACCGGUGGCGGAGGCGGCUUCCUGGACCGACACUGACGCUGAGGCGCGAAAGCUAGGGGAGCAAACGGG